rnacentral:rRNA from 1 species
GAUGAACGCUAGCUACAGGCUUAACACAUGCAAGUCGAGGGGCAUCAGGUACUGUGCUUGCACAGUAUGCUGGCGACCGGCGCACGGGUGAGUAACGCGUAUCCAACCUUCCCAUGACUCCGGUUCAGCCCGCCGAAAGGCGGAUUACUCCCGGAUGGUUUCCGAAGAGGGCCUCUGAUUUGGAAUAAAGAUUUAUCGGUCAUGGAUGGGGAUGCGUCUGAUUAGGCAGCAGGCGGGGUAACGGCCCACCUGGCCCACGAUCAGUAGGGGUUCUGAGAGGAAGGUCCCCCACACUGGAACUGAGACACGGUCCAGACUCCUACGGGAGGCAGCAGUGGGGAAUAUUGGGCAAUGGGCGAAAGCCUGACCCAGCAACGCCGCGUGAAGGAAGAAGGUCUUCGGAUUGUAACUUCUUUUAUGAGGGACGAAGGACGUGACGGUACCUCAUGAAUAAGCCACGGCUAACUACGUGCCAGCAGCCGCGGUAAUACGUAGGUGGCGAGCGUUAUCCGGAUUCAUUGGGUUUAAAGGGUGCGCAGGCGGCCUGCCAAGUCAGCGGUGAAAGCCCGGGGCCCAACCCCGGAAGUGCCGUUGAUACUGGUGGGCUGGAAUGCGGUCGAGGCGGGCGGAACGUGGCGUGUAGCGGUGAAAUGCGUAGAUAUGCCACAGAACGCCGAUAGCGGAGGCAGCUCGCCAGGCCUGCAUUGACGCUCGGGCACGAAAGCGUGGGGAUCGAACA